rnacentral:misc_RNA from 1 species
ACGAAUGCAGCUAAAUUGGCUUCGCUCAAGUUCAGGGGCGAUGUUGAGAUGCGAUGCCGGUCUGCAAAAGCCGAAAGSUUUUGCCUUCAGGAUAGCNCCCAACUCACCUGCACUCUUGUGCAAGCCGGCCAACAACAGUUGUUUGUGGCUGACGAGGGCNGGCGGGUAGGUAUUCAGCUCUCGAGUUGAAACUUAUAGCCGUCGGUCUGGAAGUCUGCAAACGACUGAGGAUAACUGGCAGCACAGGCUUCGGCCUUGGGCCCCCCUGUCCGUUUGGGCACCGCUUCAGGGACUGCGUGCAGUGUCUGUUGACGGCUGUCUGCUCGGCCGGGGGCUAGGUCACACUUU